GAACGGGUGAGUAACAGGUGGAUAAUCUGCCUUUUGGUGUGGGAUACCGGCUGGAAACGGUCGCUAAUACCGCAUGUGGUCAUUGGUUCUUAGGCACCGAUGAAGAAAGGCGCUGCAAGGCGCCGCCAAGAGAUGAGUCCGCCCCCCAUUAGCUAGUUGGUGUGAUAACAGCGCACCAAGGCAGUGAUGGGUAGCCGAGCUGAGAGGUUGAUCGGCCACACUGGGACUGAGACACGGCCCAGACACCUACGGGUGGCAGCAGUAGGGAAUAUUGGACAAUGGGCGCAAGCCUGAUCCAGCCAUGCCGCGUGAGUGAUGAAGGCCUUCGGGUCGUAAAGCUCUUUUCUGAGGGAAGAACUGUUCGGGCAGGAAAUGGCCUGAAUUUGACGGUACCUCAGGAAUAAGGAACGGCUAACUCCGUGCCAGCAGCCGCGGUAAUACGGAGGUUCCUAGCGUUGUUCGGAAUUACUGGGCGUAAAGGGAGCGCAGGCGGAUUGAUAAGUCUAAAGUGGAAUCCCGGGGCUCAACCUCGGACGUGCUUUGGAUACUGUCAGUCUUGAGUUCGUGAGAGGAAGGCGGAAUUCAGGUGUAGCGGUGAAAUGCUUAGAUAUCCUGAGAACACAGUGGCGAAAGCGGCCUUCUGGCACGAAACUGACGCUGAGCUCGAAAGCGUGGGUAGC
rnacentral:rRNA from 1 species